UAAUAACAGUGGAAAUGUUGAAUAUCGCUUUUUUCUUUUCUUUUCUCUUUUUUUUUUUUUUUUUUUUGUAGCCAACAUUUAGAGGUAUGUUCUACCACAGAAAUAGACUUGCAAAAAUAAACCUGCCCUGAGGGGAAAAAAGUGUGACAAAUAAGCUUGUUCUCCACUAUUGCUUUUAGUUGAUCUGUGUAUGAUAACCAGGUUCAGGAGCUUUACCAUGGCCUAGCCUUCUGCUCAGAGCUGAAGAAGAUGGAAGGCAAGAUGGAUGCAGUGCAGAAGAAUAAGCCAUCAGAGGUCCGACUUCUGGAGAAGAUGAGGCUGAACUGCCAGGUGUUUACAGAUGAGAUCACACUGAUCCACCUCAAUUGACAUGUGGCUCACCUGCGUGAAAUUCUGGAGAAGAUGCAGGCCAAGGUGAGACUGGAAUCCACAAUCUAGUUUCUAAAGGUUUUCAAGUUUCCUGGUGCAGUAUGAAAUGAUAUAGUGCUGACAUGUGAACGCAGGCCAGGAGUUAUUAUUUUAGACCACAUUUAAAUGAGGCUGAACAUAUGGUACUAAUGUGAGCAUUACAGUCUUGGCUUUUCCCAAUAUGCAAGCACUUUGUUGGACAUAGAAAAACACUUGGGGGAAAAAUGAAUACAGUUAAUCGACAUGAAGUCCUGAAGCUUUUCUUGUAAUGUAAGUUACUGCUAUUUUUCUUUUUGACAUCUUUUAGACGUUUUAAACAAAUCUUCAUGAGAAGCAAAUUAAUUGUCAUUUCACAAUCAUAGUCGCCACAACAGUGAGUCACUGGCACCAACACCACUCAUUUUUCAAAAGCCAGAAUGACACGAAACACUAGUGUAAAAUUAUCCAGGUCGUGGCCAUACCUGUGAUUCUUUCCCACCUCCAUUCUCCUUUAAAGCGGCUCUUUCAUCUCAUCGGUAGAGACCUAACGAGGUGCCAUUAAAGGACACAUGCCGACCGGGGCUUUGGAAGAAAAGAGCGUGUCACGUUGCCGCCCUCAGGCCACAGUCUUUAGGUGCUGAGUUGGUGGGAAAGAGGCAGCGGCGCUAAUGUUUAGCAUAUGACCUAAUCAGGGGAAAGGCGCAGGUCAGGCCACAGAGCAGUCUGAGAACUAAUACAAGCCUAGGCCCUAAUAAGGAGCAGGCUGCCAUUUAUUUCCCCUAGAUUAUCUGACAGUAAGGAAAUAUUUCAUCAUCGCUUCUAAUCUCCACGAUCCGUCGUGACUGCAGUGCAUCAGAGAAAACAGGAAGAGGGCGGGAGGAGUUGUUGAAAUAGAGCGGAAAGUAAAUUGGUGGCAAACAUGGGGUCUCAGACUGAAAAGCAGGGAUCUACUGUAGGGGAAAACCCCUCUAAAUAAUAUGCC
ensembl:lncRNA